UUAGGAAUUUUCCACAAUGGGGGCAACCCUGAUGGAGCAACGCCGCGUGCUGGAUGAAGGCCUUAGGGUCGUAAACAGCUUUUACUAGGGAAGAUUAUGACGGUACCUAGCGAAUAAGGGUCGGCUAACUCCGUGCCAGCAGCCGCGGUCAUACGGAGGACCCAAGCGUUAUUCGGAAUUACUGGGCGUAAAGAGUUGCGUAGGUGGUCUGUUAAGUGUGUAGUUAAAUCUUGUGGCUCAACCAUAAGUCCAUUACGCAAACUGACAGACUUGAGAGUGAGAGAGGUUACUGGAAUUUCUUGUGUAGGAGUGAAAUCCGUAGAUAUAAGAAGGAACACCAAUGGCGUAGGCAGGUAACUGGCUCAUUUCUGACACUAAGGCACGAAAGCGUGGGGAGCAAACGGG
rnacentral:rRNA from 1 species